ensembl:lncRNA
UCCCAUUCACAGGUUGCUCUGGGCUAAAUUGUGUCCUCUAAAUCCAUAUGUUGGAGCCCUGACCCCAGGACCUUGGCACAUGCCGGGAUUUGGAGAUGGGUCUUUAAGGAGGGGAUGGAGGUGAAAUGAGGACAUGAGGGCGGGUCCUGAUGCAACAGGACUGGGAUCCUGAUGAGAAGAGGAGAUGAGGACACAGACACGCACAGAGGGACGACCACGUGAGGACACGGGGAGAAGAUGCGUCUACACACCAAGGAGGGAGGCCUCAGGAGGAUCCAGCCCUGCCCACACCUGGCUCUCGGACGUCCAGCCUCCAGGACUUGAGACCAUCAGGGGUUUGAGCGGCCGCGUCUGGGGUCCUUUGUUGUGGCAAAUUAACACCAACAGUAAAAGAGACUUCGCAGACGUUAUUAGAUCUGGGUUCUUGCGGUGGGGAGACCGUCCUGAGGAGGUGGGGAAGCCCAAUGUCAUCGCAAAGCUCCUUCAUGAGGGAGACCUGAGGACAGAAGGGGAGACGGGCACGAGAUGACAGAAGCAGAGGUUGGAGCAACGAGCUGUGAACACAGAGGGGGCAGCCAGGAGCCCAGGAACACAGGGGCCUCCAGCAGCUGGAACGGGCGAGUGACGGGACCCCCCGCUGGAGCCCCCGAAGGACCCAGCCCCCCGACAGCUUGACUUUACCCCACAGAGUCCGACUUUGGACUUCUGACCCCAGAAGUGCUGGAGAACACAUGUUGUUUGAAGCCCCUGAGUUUGUGUCCAUGAGUCCCAGGCAUGAACGCACCCUCUGAGGUCCCAGUACUGCCCUCACGGCCGUCUAGACGCUCAUGCCCGAAACUGAUCUUCCUCUUCACUGCCCCCGACUUACUGGGUCAUUUCAUUCCCUGGCUUGGAAACCUUCAACGGCUCUGCAUUUUAUGAGUCAGUCAGUGAACAGUGUGCAACAACCAUCUCCAAACGCAGCGGCCUCCUGAUUUCGUUUACCAUGCACACGGGAAACUCGGAACAUGUUUGCCCGACACGGAUGCCCUCGCAAUAGAAACUCACACCGUCUUCCAAACCAGCUGCCUCUGCUGUGUGUGUCUGCCAUGCACCCUGCUUUCCAGCAUUAAUCAUCCUUAAAAUCUCGGCUUCAACGGCACGGUCUCUACGAGGUGAUGCUCCCUCCCUCGGUCUGUCAUUUCUUCCUAUAUUUGUCGCUCUAUCACAAACCUUCCACAUCGGACUGUGUAACCGCACUUUGAAUUACUGAAUUAUCUAAUUAUCUAAUUGCCCUCUCCCACCCCAUUAGACCAGGAAAUCUUUGAGAUCGCGACCUGCCUGUUAUUUAUCUAUGUCCCCGGGCUUGUAACGCACACUCAGAAGACCCAAUAGCCACCAGUUUAAUUACGCUGCAUUCCAGCACAAUAAAUAAAUUCUAGGUCGAUUAAAAGAGACUGAUCGAGACGGGCAAGCGGAUUGCGAGAAGUCACAGGUCAUCACAAGCGUUCGGCCCAAAGCUGUACAAAAACAAUAAGAAGCAGACCCAGAACCUACAAAGGGGCAGAAUUUCGUGGACGGGGACCACACAGACCCACGACCUCUGACCUCCGGAGCCCCCACAAGCCAGCGAUUAAAACUGGGCUAUCGAACCAAGAAAAUAAGCCACGUCCGAAAACGUUCAUCAUA